CACUAGAGACCCACAUUUUAUGAACAAUAUAUGCUCUCGAGUAUGUAGAUGCCUACAUCCAUGCUUGCUGAUGCACACAUAUGUACUGUAUUAUAUUGUACAUGAAUACCAUACGCACAUGUAUAUAACCACAGCUAAAAUCAGGAUACAAUUGGAUGCCACAGAAACAAGUAAAAGUUGUAUUUGCCUAAUGCCAUCGCAGCGGAGAUCUUUGGCUUUCUGGGUUGUAAAGCCCAUGCCUUGGUAGAUUUUUAGAGUGACUACCAAAAGAGGUAGUUUCUUCACAGCUUGAUAGGUCAACAAUUUAGAUACCGUGAAAAGAAAGGGGGGAACAACCGCAGUGAUGGGAAAAUUACCUCGCUAUGUAAGAAAAUGGAUGGAUGUGGGCGUUUUAAGAAAACAGCACAUAGCAAAGGUGAGCACAUUUUACAACUUUCGGACUUAAAACCAAUGAAGUUAUUCCAUUCAAAAAUAACUUCGCGCUGACUGUCUAGAAGUAAAGAAUAAAGUAUAAACAAACAUCAAAGAAACUUAUGACUUUAAGUCGUCAGAAAAGAAAAUAAAAACAUGUAAAUGUAUCUUGAUGCUAUUUAGCCACAUCUUUCAAAUCAAACAAAUAUCCAGAGACUAGGUCGUUGCUUGGUAAUAUCUAAAUUUAGAUAUUUUCGUCAAUUUGAAAGCCACACUACUUUUUGGUUUCAGAACAAUCAACUAUAAUUGCUCCCCAAUAGUUUUGAAAUGAACAAAUUAUCAAUGCCAUAUAGCUCAACGAUAGAAACAUAGACUUUCUUUCAAAAUGCACGGAGAAAAAAUAUAUAUAAAUUCAUAAUAAAAGGCUUCGCAUAACCAAGAUAAAUAACAACAUAAUCGGACUUUCACUUUAAAAAAAAAAAAACCGAGAAUUUUUAAGUUCAAAAACUGACAAAAAUACAACCAUCCAAAGAAGAUAAUCCCAAACAACAGGGUUGCCGAGGAAAAAUAGCAAAGAGAGUCGCGAUACAGAAGAGAAAACAUCAAUUUGCACCAAAAACAAAAACGCAAGGAAUAGGAGAUCAGCGAUUACCUCGAGCCGAAACUUCGCAACGACAGAAGAAAGAAACCAGAUCCCAACCAAACGCUCCUCAGACUCAAAUCUCACCACCAAGAUCUAAUCCAGAAAAAAGUCCAGAGAACUCCAGACGUUGGAUAAUAAAACAGACAGAAGACACCGAAAGAAAAAAACCUAGAGGAACCGUAUCGCCGCCAUGCCCGAAAGCUAUUGCUGACUCAGAUUACCACGCCGACUCCACUUCUCGAGAUUUUUCAGGCGAUGAGAGCAAGAACCGCCAUGGAAGGAGGUGGCCGAGGGGAUCAAGUUUGCGAACCUGUGGAAGAACUCUCCGAGCACCGAAGGCAUGGUCGAUGCUCGCAGAGGAUAAACCCUAGCCAGAGAUCCAAUGAGCCCAAAUCCGAUGCUCCUUUUAGCCGAAUCAGCCCAUAAACAGAAGAUAUCGGGAAAUCUGAGGGAAAAUAAAGCGACGGCGAGCACCUUUGAUCGGAAGAGCAGAGGAAAGCAAAUGAUGGCGAGGAAGUGGGAUAGGAAGGGGAUUUAAGAGAGGAUUGGACGCUUGGCCGAGGCACCGGCAAAUGGCGGUCGGUAGUCUUAUUCAAACCGACACGUGGCUCUGGAAGGUCCGUUGCUCGCUCGACG
rnacentral:lncRNA from 1 species